UUGAAACAACCACAGGAGUAAACAGAGAAUGAGGAGGACAAAAGGGGGCUACAUUCAAGUUCCCGCAAGGGGAUCAAGGCGAGAGGAAAAGAGCAGCGACCCUUGUUUACCACCCCCGGGCUCCCCUCCUUCACUGCCGCCCACCGGAAUGCCAAGUUGGAACUACACUCCGCAGAAGCCCAUCAACAAUCCUCAAAAGCUGAAGAAACAAACCAAAACAAAGGCAGCCCUCCUCCUCCCCGGGUCGUCACCGUCCGAGCCCGAGAGGCUCUCCCAUUUCCCGGUGCAAGCCUGGCCUCCCGCCCCCACCCCCAGGACAAAGAAAAGGCACUGGACUUGAGCAGUGGUGCUUCAUCCUCUCAAUUCGAAACUGAAAUCACGCUUCAAGACUUAGCACAAGCCCCAUCUCCUCCAGGAAACCUUCCUUAACAAUCAAAGCAUUCUUCAGCCGUAAAGAAGGAAAUCUUGCCAUAUGUGACAACAUGGAUGAACAUUAGUAAGGGCAUUAGGCAAGUGAAGUAAGUCAGAGAAAAAAAAUACUGUAUGAUCUCACUUAUGUGUGGUAUCUCAAAACACCAAGCUCAUGGAAGCACAGGGUAGACUGGUGAUUGCCAGGGGCUGUGGAAUGGGGGAAAUGAGAUGAUGUUAGUUAAAAGGCACACAUUUCCAGUUAUAAGAGGAAUGAAUUCUGGGGCUCUAAUGUACAGCAUGAUGACAGUAGUUAACAAUACUGUAUUGUAUUCUUGAAAGUUUCUAACAGAGUAAAUCUUAAAUGUUCUCACUACUACUACCACCACCAUCACAAUAAAUGGUUGUUAUGUGAGGUGAAGGAUGUGUUAAAUGUGUUAAUUAACCUUACUGUGGUAAUUAUUUUGCGGUAUGUAACAAAUCAUCACAUUGUACAUCUUAAACUUAAGCAAUGCUAUCUAUCAAUUAUAGCUCAAUAAAGCUGGGGGGAAAAACAACCAACAUAUUCUGAGCAAAGAAGACAGCAAGUUCAAAGGUACAGGACAAGAGGGCACGACAGAGUGGGGAAACUCCAAGUAGUUCAAUAUGGCUAGGCAUAAAUUUGAUGGAGACAAUGGUAAGAGACAGAACUAGAAGAUUGACAUUCAUUCAUUCAUUCAUUUGACAUUUACUGAGUAUUUACAGUGUGCUAGAUACUGGGCUUAUAGAUCUGGUCCUUGUUUUCAUGGACUCAAAGAGCAAAGAGGUAGAUAAUUGAUAAACAAUCAAAAAUUGUUUUUAGCCCGCCCAGCGUGGCUCAGUGGUUGAGCGUAGGUCUACGAACCAGAAGGUCUUGGUUCAAUCCCCAGUCAGGACACAUGCUGGGGUUGCAGGCUCAAUCCCCAGUAUGGGGCAUGAAGGAGGCAGCUGAUCAAUGAUUCUCU